UAGAAACAUCACACAGAUCAACACGCAAUUGAAGGAAUAACAAACACAACACAACUCGACUCGACUUAACACACUGUUUUAAGACUGCUGCAUAACAUUACAUUCAUGAAAAUUCAACACAAUCUCUUCAGUGUGUGUAGUCGGUGUGGUUUCAUUUCAACUUCCUUUAUAGUGAGCCACACACACACACACACACACACACACACUCACACACACACACAGUGGUGUGAGAGUGACAGAUGCAGUGAAUUAUUGUGCUAAUGUUACUCAACUGUUUCUGGUCCUUUAAUAACACCAAUUACAUAAUUGCUGCAGUUGUAGAAUUUGACCCGAACAGAAUCACUCGUGACUCACAAUCACGACUUCAAAACACACACAGAGGCAGUUUAAUUGUAACAGACACAAUAACACUGUCAGACGAGGUCAAAGGUCAAAUGCUGUUUCACACACUCAUUCCCUCCAAAUCCAACAUUACAAGAAUGCUGUCCUUCAACAUCCCACAAACACACACAGUGAAAGUUACUUAAUAAAUGACUCACCUCUUAUUUUCACUGUAUUUAAAUGAAGUUAUCUAAAAUAUCUAUAAUAAACUGCUACAUUAAAUCACUGUUCAGUGUAUGAACUCAAUCUGAAGUGACUCUCUAACUGAACCAUCACAUGAAUCAAAUACUGGUCUAUCAUCCAUCAUCUGUCUAUCAACUGAGACUGACGGAUCGGAUCAGAUCAGAUCAGAUCAGUGACGACAGCAGAGGGCAGCAGCGAGCCGGACAUGAGAGAUGCGCGCGCGUGUUUCCCACAGUGGUCCUGGAGGCCUGCGUGAGGUCACAGGGAUCAAUUGCUGUGGUAAUUUAAGACCCUAAAGAGCAAUUAAUACCCCAACAAUGAAGCCAGCACCAGUGUGUGUGUGAGGGGCUAAAGGAGACAGUCUGCCGGGCUGCAUUUAAUCUCAUCAUCAGGGACCUUCAGUUUACCUCACACGCACACGCACAAGCGGUAAAGUCACGCGUCUGUUCUCGUUCCCGCGGAGCCGUUGCCAUAGUAACUUGAUAGUAAUCAUCAGUAAUGGGGUUCGGGUCAGUUUUGGGGUUUCGUCGCCGGUCUAGUUUCUGAGGAGAGAAGCGGUUACCGCGCAACAAUACUCUCUUUAUGAGCCGACGCUCCGACAGGCGCUUAAUGCAGCUGAACGAUUAAAGAGUAACUUACCCAACACUGGACAACAAGUUAUUUAAUCAUUUAAAAAGCACAGUUUUUUCAAUUUUCUGAAGAAAGAAAAUCAGCGAGUUUGCAGAUCUGAAGUUUUAAAAGGACAGCGAUAUAAGGUGCACAUCACAAUGGUUUGAAUAAAGUUGUCAGAUUAGUUUUAAUGAA